GCUGUCAAAACUUUUGGUUUCAGAGCAGUGACCUGCUCCUCGUUUUCACCGAAAAUUCUUUAUUGGGAACGCGUGUUGGAGAGAUAUCAGACCACCUCAUGGGCCAUCAUGUCCGAGUCAGAUGUAUAUCUGAAUGCUUGGCUUCGUCCUUCGUUGAUACCAAGAGCACAAUCAACAGGAAGGAAUCGCCUGACACGUACACAUGCGACAUUAGACGCAGGGAAAAAAGAACCCCAAGCCACUGCAUUUUCAGGGUGCAGGAGUCGGGACGAGAAUAAUAUGUGAGCAUGUUGCAGGUGGAACAACCUAAUGACAAGGACCGUGCGGGUGAAACUGAUCAUGUUGAUCUGGCUGUAAUCGUUUGAACAAUCACAUGUUUGAACUUACAUUCUGUGACAGCACAUUUAGUCGUAUGUGGUAUUGAUGCUCAGAACGCGAAGCAUCUUCUUCACGGCAGCAUCGGCGAGAGUACCUGGAAAAAAGAUGAUCAAGCACAUCAAUGGACUUGUAUCGGCGACAUCCUAUCACCGAAGGCUCUCAAUAGCACCUUCACACUAAGGAUUCAUUCUAGUUCUGAAUAUCCGAUACCCUUUGGAAGACCAGAGUCUGCUAGUCCAAGGCAAGAGUCUGUGGUUGUCUGAGCUUGCAAACUGAACUGCAGCAGCUGCAGCAUUUGAUUCCCAGCCUUAAGUGUGACGUCACUUGGAACUUUUAGGCUUCUCUUCUUGGAGACCAUGCACUUAAUACGUGCAUGAAAGCCCGAGAAAGGCAAUCACCAAUAACUCCACGGACGUUUUGCUGAUUGUGACCACUCUAAGGUUAUUCUUAGCGAAAUUGUUACAUCCUUCGCAUUUGCAGCUGCAGGAGAAAGAUGUGUCGAACCAUUUGCCGAUAAGGGGAAAGCUGGCAGCACUGGGAAAAAAAGUGAUGCUGGAUUGUCUGUGUGGGACUAUACUGGAUGCCUGGCCUCAUGUUAAGCACUUAAUCCUUUCAUCGGUUGAAGUGCACAUUAAUUGGAGCUGUGUUCAGACCUGAGUCAACACUGCCUCUCCCUUUGCCACAGAUGGGAAGGCCAGCCAUAGCUUUAGCAGCCACUUGUUGGAAAAUACAACACGACUACGACGUGAAAAGAGCAGACCAUAUUUCAGGUAAUGAGCUGUUUUGUGUGUCUUUUAAUUGCUUUUCCACCGGUGCGUGAAGAUGAUCGUGGCUGCCGUCUAAACAUGAAAGCACAGAAAACUAAAGGUUCCAAUACCAACUUAGGUUAAGGCUUAUGGCUGUGGAAUCUUUCUCUAGAGAAAAAAAACGACUUUGAAAAUUGUCCAUUCCUGAAUGACAACUACGUCGUAUACCUAUCUAGUGUCAAAAAGCUGUAUGAAAGGGUAAAUUAGGCAGUUCUGUUUACAAAGCAUUUCAAUAAAAACGACAUUUAUUAAAAGAAACGAUAUCAUUAAAAGGAGUGUGUUAUUUUAAGCAAAAUUAAAAGGAGAGAAAUAGCUAUUACUGUAUGUGCAAAAUAAAUAUAACAAAUUCAACUUUUCAUGUUUCACACAAUCGGGUGAAAAGAAAGGAUAUAACAAGCAUUAACCCUGCGCUAUGGUCGUUUCUUUUAAUAAAGGUCUUCCUUAAAGCAAUGCAGUAAUAUGUCGAACCUGUGCCUAUUUUUUACUGGUUCUGGGUCGAUUGUUAGAAUGAAUGAACCAAUUAGGCGUCACACAAAGCAAGCGACUAAUUCUUAUUCACACAAGAGCAAGAUUUGAAUCAGGCUUUGGCAUCCCAAUUUGGAUGUUUUGCAGUGUAUGUUGAAGUUGAAAGUCAUUUCUAAAACUGCUCAUCAAAACGUGCGUUGAUUUAAUUACUUUUGUCGCUAGCUCUGAGAAUCCUGAAAAUGUUUUUAAAAGCUCAAAAUAUUAUUUUCUUAAUUGCAGCCCAAAUACGCUUGUAUUGCACCUGCAUUCUACGCAAUGUCAUAAGGAUAAACAAGGGUUUCUUUUUUUAAACGAAGUUGUUUCCUGUGACUCAAGUUAACAUUUUAAUCCGUAGCUGCAUUCUUCAAUUUGUAGACAAUCGAUUUCUUUUUAGUUUUUCCAUAUCGGUAUAUAGUGUUUUUUCUGAGGUAUGUUCAUAAAGAUAGAGUCCGUGAGUGGCAUAACCCACCCGGAGCGUCUAUCAUAAGAAAAUCUCCCCAAAAUCUUUUACAGACAGAUAUAUGUUUUACUUUGAACCCAUGAUCAUUGCGAAUCUUCAAAAUGCAAUAUACAUGCACGGUACAUGUAUUUGGUUUGCCGGCUUUCUUGUGUGCCGUCCGACGGAAUUGUAAAUAAUGGUUGCCGUAAUAACAAUUGUUUCACCAUGGCACAUUGCCAUGAGCACCAACUACAUGGAUCGAAUAAAGGAUUUCUUUCGAUAAAUCAAUCUUUGUUCACAAUACGAGCAAACAUGAGCGGCUGUCAGGUUAAUAUACAUUAUAGAUAACUUUCAUAACGAUAAUGCGUUAUAAUGUAAGUGUUGCAUUCAGCUAAACUAUGAAUAUCACUGUACAUGCAAAUGUUGAAAAAAAAUCCAUACUUUGGGGGAACAUGAGUUCUGCGAGCCAGGAAACACAAAUCAUCAAUCAAUUCUAAACAAACGAACGGUGCACAGAAUUGGAAAUGACACACCAGCAGGUCAUAGGGUAAGAUCAUCUUCUUGUACAUGAUACUCAGGGCUGCGCUUUAGUCUGUCAGUGUAGCUGUUUCUACGGUGAAUGAAUAAUUAACGGCUCUACACAGAUGUUCUUCAGACUUUUAUUUUAAUUGAUGGUUUUCCACAGGCUAAUUGCUUUUUGUGUAGUGUUUUUGCGGCGUUUCCCCAGCCCUGUCCUGAACUGGUGCUAAAUUUUUAGAUUGUACUGUCUCCGUAAGGAAAAAUGAAUACCGUUUUUAUUGCAUAUGCACACUAAAAUGUAAAUUAUUCAAUUUGAUAUUGCAAUCAGAUUAAUUGACUGCAACUGAAACAACCUUGACGUCACCUAGGUGGUCUGCAUUAAACUCUGCCGCUGCAGUGGUGUUUUCAGUGACUUGCCAAACCGUUUGUUCGGUAUUUGGUACAACGUAACAACAGGGGUGGAUCCAGAUUUGCCGCAACCGUGGGAGGGGCAGGUUCAAGAGCAGCAGUUAUUCUCUCGUUUAAUUUCCACCGUUUUGCGACCUACCAGGGAGUUUAAACCUCCUGACCCCUUGAUGAUCAACUGCUGUGCAGUAGCAAAUUAGAAGUUACCAGACGCAGUUACAUCUUGAAUUGUUGCUAAGCUACGAUUAUCAGAGGCGUGUCCAGCUUUUGGUGUGGGGGGGGGCAAAUUCAAAAGCGAAUGCCGCUUCACAGGCUCAU
rnacentral:lncRNA from 1 species